UAACCGGAGUUAACUCCCAACCCAUGUGAACAUACCUAUUGUUGCUUCGGCGGGAUUGCCCCGGGCGCCUCGUGUGCCCCGGAUCAGGCGCCCGCCUAGGAAACUUAACUCUUGUUUUAUUUUGGAAUCUUCUGAGUAGUUUUUACAAAUAAAUAAAAACUUUCAACAACGGAUCUCUUGGUUCUGGCAUCGAUGAAGAACGCAGCGAAAUGCGAUAAGUAAUGUGAAUUGCAGAAUUCAGUGAAUCAUCGAAUCUUUGAACGCACAUUGCGCCCGCCAGUAUUCUGGCGGGCAUGCCUGUCUGAGCGUCAUUUCAACCCUCAUGCCCCUAGGGCGUGGUGUUGGGGAUCGGCCAAAGCCCGCGAGGGACGGCCGGCCCCUAAAUCUAGUGGCGGACCCGUCGUGGCCUCCUCUGCGAAGUAGUGAUAUUCCGCAUCGGAGAGCGACGAGCCCCUGCCGUUAAACCCCCAACUUUCCAAGGUUGACCUCAGAUCAGGUAGGAAUACCCGCUGAACUUAAGCAUAUCAUAGUCCGGAAGAAGA
rnacentral:rRNA from 1 species